CUCCCCGCUAUGUAGGAGCUACUCAGAAAAGUUAAUUCUGUUUCUGGGUAUCUCUAAUGUACAACGUCGACUGUUUAGAAUGGCAAUUAGGCUUCUUUCCACAUCAAAAUAAAAUCUGAACAUUCAUCAUUGAAGAAAAAUUGAUUUUGUGCUUCCAAACAUGACCGAGUUCGGCAAAGGGAUAAGAGGAUAAUUUACUUUCUGUCACCUCCAAAGUUAACUGAGGAAACACACACACACACACACACACACACACACACACAUUUCCCUGACAGGCAGACAGGCAAAUCACAGACAAAACUGCAGGGCAGGGGGAUAAAAAGGGAAAAAAAAAAUCUUGAAAAAGCUGAGCUCUUCCAGUCCCCUCCCACCAGGCUCCGUGAAGGAUGACUUCAGUCCGUCUCCUAACUAAUUCUGUCACUGUAAAAUCCUACAGUCAUUCUUCCACACAUAAAGGACAAAUAAGCUGGAGAGGAGGACCCAAGUGCUUUCAUUUUUAACUCUUCACCAAUGGAGGAGAAGGCAGAAUGCCUAAGCUGUGUCUCAGUGGCCAAUAGGAUAGCUGUGUAUCUCCCACGUGACUCACUGCCCCUGUCUUUCACAUGGGCUGUAAUUUAGUUCAAUUCAGAACUGCAGAUAGUACGGCUUUCACAGGAGCAAGGAAUGCCUGGGCACAAGUGCCUGAGUUCCGAGGGACUUUGGGAAAACACUUUGCUCUCUCCCUCCUUCCUGGAAUCAGGGAUUCUGCACCUGCAUCAGAGACCGUCCAGCCAGAGCCGCUGCUGUGCCUCCAGGGACCAGGAACGAGCACAAAUAAGCGUUUUGAAAUUGGAUCUUGGACAAAUGAUCCCUUGGACAAAUCCAUGAAGGAAACUGAAGGCACGUGGAGCUACAUCUUCAAUGACAGUCCUGAAAAAAAAAUCAAAGCAAGAUGCUCUGUCUCCAAAGACAUCUAUUCCAAAGAGUACAGCUCUACCCCCAAAUGGGGACAGGAUGCAGGUACCUCGUUUUGUGUAGUUCUUUUGAAAUGCUUUGUUCUUUCUAUCACAGAACACUUCUUCUUUCUUGACUCCCAUCUCCCUCCUUCUUCCUUUUCUUCCUCGCGUUCACAUAUGUCUUUCAUACUUGACGUCGUUUACUGUCCUUUCAUCAGAUCUAUGCCACAUCACUUAGGCAAACACCUAAAUACACAUUAG
ensembl:lncRNA